rnacentral:tRNA from 2 species
GGAGGAUUGGCUGAGUGGUCGAAAGCGGCGGUUUUGAAAACCGUUGAGCCGAAAGGUUCCGCAGGUUCGAAUCCUGUGUCCUCCGCCA